rnacentral:tRNA from 1 species
CCGUGGAGGGGUGCCCUGGCCCGCGGGGCCUUCGGCCUCCGGGGUCGCCGGAGGCUCGCCCGCCGGCGAGGCCGGCUCGGCGGCCGGCUCCUCGGC